UACGGAGGGUGCAAGCGUUAUCCGGAUUCACUGGGUUUAAAGGGUGCGUAGGCGGGCAGGUAAGUCAGUGGUGAAAUCUUUGGGCUUAACCCGAAAACUGCCAUUGAUACUAUCUGUCUUGAAUAUUGUGGAGGUUUGCGGAAUAUGUCAUGUAGCGGUGAAAUGCAUAGAUAUGACACAGAACACCGAUUGCGAAGGCAGCUGACGAAACUGUAACUGACGCUGAGGCACGAAAGCGUGGGGAUCAAACAGG
rnacentral:rRNA from 1 species